rnacentral:rRNA from 1 species
AUUGAACGCUGGCGGCAGGCCUAACACAUGCAAGUCGAACGAGUGGCGGACGGGUGAGUAAUGUCUGGGAAACUGCCUGAUGGAGGGGGAUAACUACUGGAAACGGUAGCUAAUACCGCAUACCAUCGGAUGUGCCCAGAUGGGAUUAGCUAGUAGGUGGGGUAAAGGCUCACCUAGGCGACGAUCCCUAGCUGGUCUGAGAGGAGGACCAGCAACACGGGAAAUGGGAAACGGUCCAGACGCCUACGGGAGGAAGCAGGGGGGAAUAUUGCACAAGGGGGGCAAGCCUGAUGCAGCCAGGCCGGGGGGAUGAAGAAGGCCUUCGGGUUGUAAAGUACGUUCAGCGGGGAGGCGGUACCUGCAGAAGAAGCACCGGCUAACUCCGUGCCAGCAGCCGCGGUAAUAC